UACGUAGGGUGCAAGCGUUGUCCGGAAUUAUUGGGCGUAAAGGGCUCGUAGGCGGUCUGUCACGUCGGGAGUGAAAACUCGGGGCUUAACCCCGAGCCUGCUUCCGAUACGGGCAGACUAGAGGUAUGCAGGGGAGAAUGGAAUUCCUGGUGUAGCGGUGAAAUGCGCAGAUAUCAGGAGGAACACCAAUGGCGAAGGCAGAUCUCUGGGCCGUAACUGACGCUGAGGAGCGAAAGCAUGGGGAGCGAACAGG
rnacentral:rRNA from 1 species